AUUUCUCAAUUUGAAAUCUCAGGUCUUCUGGAAUUCAUAUUCAUAUUUAUUUUCAUAAAAAAUUAACGAUAGUUCUUUAUGAAUUUUUAGUAAUUGUAAGUUACAGUAAAGUCUAAACUGUAAUCAGCGCGAAUGAACUUCCAGUGUAUUAUAUGCGAAUCACAAUUGUUUGGGAUAAUGGGGAAGAGUUUAAGCACUUGUUCGGCAUAUAAAGUUCGGUUUCGUCGAGUGGCCGACAAGUCAAGUGGAUUUCGAGAGCGAGUAUGACUUAUCAAUCUGAUGUUAAAUUCGAGGAAUUAAGACACUUCGAUGAAAUUUAGUGUAAAACGGAAGUCCUGGUCGAAAUUCAAUGCUAUUCCACCUGUAAAGUACCUCAUAGUACUGUAACGUUCCACGAUUUCGUAAAUCGCAUCGAACGAAACGAGCGAAGUUUUCCUAACGGGAUUACCACCCUCUCGAGUCACGCGAACAUGCUUG
rnacentral:misc_RNA from 1 species